rnacentral:lncRNA from 1 species
GAUAAAGACCAAGGCCUCCGUUCUUCAUGAGUUAUUGGUACCGAUUGUAGAUUUUUGUUAUUAAAUUUUUAAUAAAGUAGUGAUAAUUAAUAAAUUUUAACUUCAUUAAUAUUUUUCCUAUUUGCAGCAUCACUAUGAUCUCUAGGAUCUCGAUGUGAAUCAAUCCAAGUACAUACAAGAGUUUUUCACAGGUCGAUUCACUCAAUGGAAGAGCGACCUCCAAAAGCAUUUCGAGACAUAGG